UCCCACCCCGCGCGCCGCCAGCUCUCUGCUGCCUCGGAGCUGGGCUAGCGCCCUGCGCAACCCUCGGUCCGACGGUGACCAGGGCCCCAGACGCGGUACACUCCAGGACCCGUUCUCCCUCCCGGCCUAGUGGCACAUUCCGACAUCCACGCACCGCCCUGGGUGGUUUUUUUCCUCCUUCUUCCUACUAGGCUAUUUUGUGUAUAAUUGAACCAUGAGAAAAUCGUUGGCUCCCCCUUGACUGCCAAGGACUGCACAGAGAAUUUCUGUUGUUUGCUCUGGGGACCAGGCUCUCAGGCUAGCCCAGAUCUCCUGGCCUGCUGGGUCAUCAGGCCUGCCUGUUUUUCUGAUACUGCCGUUUUGAGAAAGACUUCAAUGAACAGGGCUGACUAUGGUGUGAGACCAUGGCUUGAAUCCCCGGAGCUUCUCAGAGCAUCAGGACAGAAGGACCUUAGAGACAGAAAAACUUCAACGUCCUCAUGGCUAUCUUGGCAAUACUGAACUUACUUUAUCACUAAGAGGAACCCAUAGGAAGAUGAUUGCAUGCCCCUCCCUGUUUCAUUUUAAUAUUGAACCGAAUAAAUUUCACAGUGGAAUAAGAUAACAUUUGUAUCCCUGUACCUCCAAAUCGUGAGUCCUAGAUGUAGGUAGGCACUGCAAUCCACAAGCCACCUACAGAAAGUCAGCAAAAGACACCAAGCUAUGUGUGUAGACAGAAGAGGGCUUUCUCACGAAAGCCAGAAUACUGUCAUUUGAAGAACGCACUAUGUCUUACAAAAAGGCCACAGGGUGUUACUCAGGCAAGUCAUCCUGACUGGAGGCUGUCACCAGACAGAAGCUAAAGAUUCGGUUUUGAAGCUAGAAGAGAGUCAGUUCUCCUGAGAAGCACAGAGACUUUUGUGAUCAUGUACUCCAAUCACAGUGUUUUGAGAAUUUCAAAAAAAAGAGUCUAAGAAGAGCCAGUGAGUGACCCAUACUUUUGAAGGGAUGACCAAACUGAAUAUAAAUAUUCUGCCCUUCCCAGUAGAAGCCCUGGCGUUAUUUGGCUUUGACUCUUAAAAGAUAUUAUCUGAACAAGAUAUUAGACCGCGCCCCCCCACCUUUCGUCAUCACUGGCUAAGUUUGCUUCACAACACACUCCCACCAUGAUGUUGGGUCUCAUCAGCCAAAGAAGCAAUGGGGUGAGGAGACCAGCAGCUGUGAGCAGAAAUAGACCUUUCCUCUUCACAAGCUGUUUGUCUGAGGUAUUUUGUUACAGUGAUGGAAGCUAACUAACACCAAGAGGAUUUUAUUCUUUUAUGAUAUUCCCCAAGGCAAAAGGAAAUGGAUACUCUAGGUCCCUAAAGAAAGGUUAACAUAAACCUCAUAUAUAACAUUCGGGCAGAAUUUCCUCAUUUAGAUAAGGGUGAAAGGCACUGUGUUGCCGGGUAACCACAGGUGUUUGACCACUUCCUGCAGUUAGCUCAAUCAAAGGUCUAAUGUCUGGGGAGACCUGAGCACUGCCUUUGCCAGAUUAAGGGCUCAGCUUUUAGUUGUAAUUUAGAUGAGUCAGCUUGUUAUCUAAAGCCAUCUCGCUGGGGCAGGGCUAUAAGACUGUGUUAAGGCACUUGGACAGUGAUCCAAGGUCCUGAUUGGAUCACCAGCACCACACUCAGGAAAAAAUAAACUAAGGCAGAGGAUAAAAGAAAGAAAGACACAUUAUGACAUUAUGGGAAAACUCAGAUUUCCAAGUUUGAGUGGGAAUGAGGAUUCAAUAAUAACAUAGACAAUGAAUAUAAAUCCUGUUUGUUUUUAAAAGAUUCUUGUGAAAGAAUGUGAACAGUAGUAUAUUAGUGACUAGAAGAUGACCUUCUCUCAUUGCCAAGAACAGAGCUCAGUCAUUUAAUUUUGUUCACGCGGUGGGAAAGUCCAUUGCGGAAGGUUUAACGUGUAUGUGUGCAGUGCGCACUGGCUUCCCAGGGCAUCAUAGGGAUGAUGUGUUAACCACAGCCAGUCAGUAGAAUUUCCUGAACAAUGAAAACACUACCAUGUGUGCUGUUAAACACAGUACAAGAAACUAAAAUUUUAAUUUCAGUAGCAUUGUUGACGAAUGACUCCUUUGUUGGGCAAUAUAGGAACUGGUUCGUGUAUGUUGUCGUCCCUAGAUUUCAAAGAAAGCAAGUUCACUUUACUUGCCUGGAGAAGCCAGGAUUGGUGAGCUAUGGUUUCAUUAGCAUGGAACAAAACCUAGCCAUGGCAGGUGACAAAUGCCCCUAAGUUAGAUCAUUAGAUUAUUUCCACUUUGCAAAAUGAAAAAACUGAGGUCCUGUGCCUUGUUCUCUCAGCCAUUACAGGAGCCAAAGCAACUGAAGUAUUUAAUUCUCUUCUCAGGCUCACACUCCUUGCUCUCUCCGUGACUUUUCUCUUCUCUCGGAUGAUGGCGUGUGGGGAGAGAGGGCCAGUAAGAUGGCUCAGUAGGUGAAAGCUUGCUGGUCAAGACUGUUGACCUGAGUUCGACUUACAGAACCCAUAUAAAGACAGAAGGGGAAGCCAGCUCCACAAAGUUGUGCUUUGACGGCCAUACAUCUGCUGUGGUACACACACCUUUUACACGAAUCACACACACACUCUAUUAAAUAUAUAAAUCACACAGCUGCUCAAUUCGGGAGCCACUGCAAACGAGGGGCAGAAAGACUGUGAGACUCCUAGAAAUGUCAGAGAAGCUACACUCGUGAAGUCUCACAAACAUGGCUGGUUAAACACGGCCUGAGCAGUGAGGACACACCAAUAGACUUGCUAACAUGGAAGGGGGGGGGGAGCUCAUGAAGCCUCAACCCGAGAAAGAACUUCGGGCAACUGAGGCAUGCUGGGAGUGGGAGGAAGUCUUUCCCAGGGAAAGCUUAUCAAUUGACCGUCCAGUACCAAGUGGUCAGCUCGAAAACCAUGGACACACAGCAACACUGUGUGGGCUCACCAACAGGAGACUUUUUUUAAAAGUAAGAAUGUCUGUCUUGGAUAGAUGGUAGAAUACUUACCUACUGUGUUUGAAGCCCUAGGUUCCACUCCCAGGAGUUACAAAAAAGUAUGAUAUUUCUAAGUUUAUAUAGAAAAUUUCCCACAAGUUCCUUGUGUCUUUUCCUCCAAGUGGGAAAGGAUCCUUAGUUGAUUAACCCUGAUCCUGAAAUGAUGACAUUACUGUUUUGUCUAGGAAAGCUUCAGUUGAAUGCCACACUUAUACUAUAUUACUAUACUUGAAAAACAAAGAGUCAGAUAUCCAAGAGUCUACAAAGAAUGGAUCUGUCUCUACCUCAAACGUAUUUCUGGAAGAACUAGAUGUAUCAACUUUAUGUUACAUGCUUUAUUGAAUUUUCUGGAUUUUUUUCUGAAACCCGUCCUGCUUCAGCCUGUUUAAGUGAAAGGCAACUUUGAAGU